GGUGACUAGUUGACAGCGUUAGGGAGGGAAGGGGUGACUAGUGACAGAGUGAGGAAGGGGUUGACUAGUGACAGAGGGAGGGGUGACUAGGGACAGAGGGAGGGAGGUGGUGACUAGUGAUUAGUGACAGUCACCACCUCCCUCACUCUGUCACUAGUCACCACCUCCCUCACUGUGUCACCCCCUCCCUCUGUCACUGGUCACCCACUCCCUCCCUCACUCUGUCACUAGUCACCCCUUCCCUCACUCUGUCACCUGUCACCCCUUCCCUCACUCUGUCACCUGUCACCCCCUCACUCUGUCA